GAAACACCACAAACACUUUCAAUGCUGCAUUAACCUCCGCAUUUGUUACUGAUUUUCCAGGUGUGAAUGGUCUUGGUGUAUCUGUGGCACGGUUAGACAUAGCCAAAGGUGGAUCAAUCCCAAUGCACACACACCCUGCUGCCACUGAACUUCUAAUAAUGGUGGAAGGUCAAAUCACUGCUGGUUUUAUGACCCCAACUGCACUUUAUACCAAGACACUGAAACCUGGAGAUAUUAUGGUUUUUCCACAAGGACAGUUGCAUUUUCAGGUUAAUUCUGGAAACGGAAAAGCCACUGCUUUUCUGGCAUUCAGUAGUGCAAACCCUGGAGCACAACUACUUGACCUUCUGUUAUUUGGCAACACCUUGCCUUCUGACUUGGUUGCACAGACUACCUUCCUUGAUGUUGCACAAGUCAAGAAGGUUAAGGCUCGUUUUGGUGGCAGAGGCUAGGGUUUCUUAUGAAUCAACUCAUACCUAGUGUUUGUUUUAGUGAUAAUCGUCAGCAAUUAAUAAACUUGUGCAUUUGGGUGUGUUUUGCUUUCAUUUUAAGUUUGAUUCCAAACUUAUGAUUUGAGGGUUUGAAGUUUGACGAUGUAUAAAUAAAAAUUUUAGAGUUUAGUUUGAGUGCAUCAUUGAUUUCAAGAAAGUAAUUAAGAAAGAAAUCAAGAUGUUCACUUGAUUUCUUUUAUUAUAAUAAAAAUAAUAAUAUUUCAAACAAGAUAUUAAUAAAAAGUUUAAUACCUUGUUGUGUUUAUCCUUAAUUUUUUUAAUAAAUAUGAGUUACUAAUUAGAAUCAUUAGAUUAAAAGAAAACAAAUGAUAUAAAUGCAGGACUGGUAACUUCUUUAAUCUCUUAGAGCAACUUAAUCUCUUCUUUAAUAACAUAUCUAAAGUAUACAUACUAUGGCAGCGCUCUUGUUAUCAUUUAAAAUUUCCCCACUAUUAAUUAAUAAUGUCGUAUCGUCCACCUUAUUUUACGUUCUAGAUCUAUAUUUGGUUUAAAGAGAGGAGGAGAAGGAAAGAGGGGGAGAAAUUUUGAUUACACAUUUUGUUUUGUUAAGAGAAGAACAAAUGAAAGAUUUUAAUAGGAGGAAAAAUGAUCAUUUUCUUGUUGGGUUCAUAAGUGGAGAAGGGAUUAUAAAAAUUAAUUUACUUGUAUAUUUAUAUAAUUUUACAUUUCAACACAUAAGAGAGGGAUAUUUUAAUUAAUGCACUUCAGAUGUUUUAAAUCUUUUUUCUUUUUUCUCCUAAAAAUUAAACCAAAUAAUAAAAUUUUAUAAAAAUAUAUCCUUACCAUUCAUUUUUCUCCAUUUUCUUUCAACCAAGCAAAAAAAGAGAAAAAAAUAAUAAAUAUAAUAUAUAAUGUGACUAUGAGUUGACCCGGUCAAUGUCAAAACAACUGAAAUUUAGUAAUAUGUUUUAGAAUAUUCUUAUUUUGGUAAUUACUUUCUAAUAGUACCUCUACUUUGGUCAAUCUGCAGCCUUUAAUACAAUUACUUCUUACCUUUAAAUUUUUAGAUUCUCUUCCCGGUAACUAUUAAUGAAUAAAAAUAUUCAAACUACCCUUUUCAUCCUUCUCUUUUUUUACUUCCUAUUUUAAAAGUAAUAAAUAUAAAACGUAUUAAAUAAUAACAUAUUCAAACACACUAAUACCUUGUUUUACUUAUUUUAGGGUGGAUUCAGAAGGAAACAAGGGAGAGAAAAAAAUAAAAAAAGGAUAAUAUAAAUGUGAUAAAUGAUGUAACUGGUGAAUUGAUCCGGUCAAUGGUAAAAAUUAUCAAAAUUUUUAUAUAUAAUAUAUCACAUUUUAGUGAUUAAAUUCUAAAAGUGUCAUGUUUUGGUCAAUGAUUCCUUAAUGGAAUUACUUAAAGGACUUAUAUUAAAAUUUUCAAAUCUUUUGUUUUCGGUUUGUAAGAAUGACUAUAAACAUUUAGACAGUGAUCAUAUUGGAUACGAUGAUAUAUGAUAUCUUGUUUAAUUGUUUAAAAGCGGUAUGUUGUCUUAACAUAUGUUUACUGUUAUUUUUUAUUAUUUAGGUUCCAAAUUAAUAACAAAUUAUUAUUUACUUUUUGUUUUAUUAAUGAUGCGGGAACCUUACUUUACUGAAGAACAGAGUUUUGUUUAGGAGGCAUGGUGAAAAUUUCUAAAUUCUGUCAGUAACCUAAGUUGUAUUAGAAUUUUAUCUUCCAUAAGCUUGGCCUAUUGUUAGAGCUUGUGCUUGUAUAUCAGUUAGUUUGAUAGUAACACUGAUGAUCUCUUAAACAUCUGACAGGAAUUUGAAUGCUUGAAUUUAAAUUGUGUAGGAAGUGGUUUGUUGUCAUUUGAAUGCUUGAAUUACACUGUCUUCUGUAAAGUGUUUUUUCUAAAUAUAUUUUUUUAUCCAUGAUAGUCCAUUUAAUUUUUUUUACUGAAUCUGGAGAACAUGUCAGCCAUGCCAUUUUGAUAUGUUCAAUUGUCCAUUAAUUUCUGUCUGCUUUUUCUUCGAUUAUUGCUAUUUUUUAUUCCCAUGAUGGAGUUCUGGUUAUUCAAUUCAUAUUUCUGGCCUUCGUUUGGAUUUGACUAUUACAUGUUUAGAUAUGCUUAUUUUAGGGGCUCGAUUUAUUUUGGUCAUGAAGCUUUCUACUAAACCAUGUGAUGGCAUGAUGUGCACCUAAUUUCUUAGUGGAGUCCUUAUUUUACUCUUGACUGAUGCAUUUACCAGUUUGUCUUUAUUUUUUAUUUCAAAUUAGGUAUAUAGAAAGUAGAAGAAUAGGAGUAUCUUAGAAACAAUAAAAGAAAUUCCUAUUUGUGUUACAGACUUUUGAAUUUAAGUUGCCGAUAACUGAUUAAACUUUUGAAAACGUGCAAUUUAUAUUGAUUUAUACUUGAGAUAUCUCAGGCAAGUGUAUUUAUCUGAAAUGCCAAUGGUUGUGAUUUGUGAAUCUUUGCUUAAUUUCAUAGGAGCAUUGUUUGGGCGUUAUUAUGACAAGGAUUCAAAGGUGUAAACCCAAUUAUCAGCUAUUUGUUUGAUUGUUUGUGUAACCUACGGUCAUCAUCCAAGGGAGCAUCAUUUAUUUUGUAAGACAUGCAUGCUUUCUAUGUUAAUUUAUAAGUUUGUUUAAUUUUUUUUAUGAUUACGUAAAUUUAUUAUUUAAUAUAUCAUAUAGUAUUAAAAAUACAUUUACCAAUUCGAUGAUGAUUCAUCUCAAGAAUUUAAUGAGAUUUCAAAACAUAGAGAUAUAUAUGGAAAAUUAAAGUAAUUCCCACUGCUAGAGAGAUAUAUAUAUUUGCUAAUAAUAUAUACCGAAAAUUAAAGUAAGACUAAGAUAUUCUGUUUAUUUCUUUCUUUGUAGUUAGAUAGAUAUAAAAUAAUAAAUUAAAAAUGUAUGAAUUGUAUUGUUUUAUAGUGUGAUAAAAGGAGUUUCAAUAACUUGUAUUAAAUAUUAACCAAUAACCAGUAGUAGUACUUGUAAUUAAAACAAUAGUAAUAAUACAAGAAAAUCAAAUAAUUGGAUUAGGAUGUACUACAAAUGAGAAAAUAAUUUAUGCACUUUUAACUUGGCUUAUUUAUUUUAUACUCAUAAAUUGCUUGUUCGAUCAGGAUGUAACAAAUUACUAUUGUUGGCAUUUAAUUCAAGGAAAAUAACAUGAGAAAAUAUUUAAUAUUUUUUAUAAUUUUUCAUUAAUUUUAGGGUAUGAGAUGAUACCCAGUAAUGCAUACUAAAAAAAGUAAUCACUCAAAUUCAACGUUUGCAUUAUAGAUGUUCUUCUUUUUAAUAUUUUAAAUAAUACUUAUUUUUUCAAUUAUAAAGAUUAAUUUUUUUAAUAUUUUAAAAAUUAAAUAAAAAUUUCUAUAUUUUAAAAAUGAAUUCAAUAAAUUUAGAUAUUUUUUUAAAUUAAAAGAUCAUUUCAAAACAAUUAUUUAAAUAUAUAUAUAUAUAUAUAUAUAUAUAUAAUUAUUUUUAAAAUCAUAGUAAAUUCCCUAAAGAUUUUAUUCAACAAGAAAAUUCACAGAAAAUUACCUACGAAUUUUAUUCUGUAAGAAAAUCCACAAGUAACUUUAUGUUGAUAUUAAAAUAACCACCAAGCUUAAUUGACUACCUAGUACCCCUCCUCCAUAACGACAUUCCCCACCAAGAUAUCCUACUACACUACACUAACAGUGAUGAUAGCUUGUCACCGCCAGUGUAAAAAUAGAGUGGCCAGCUACUGUAUGCAAAAUUGCUGCAUGAGAACCACAUAACACUGUCAGAACUCAGAGAAGCCUGAGUAUUGGACGAAAGAGACUUGAAAGGAGGGAUCAGGCCGUAAAAACACAAUUCCUAUCAGGCACGGCAUUAUUGAAGACAACUUUAUUUCUCUUUUUCCAAAGGAAGAAGUUGACAGCACUCCAUAAAAUUUGCCCGCCCACAGAAGAAGUUUUAGAGAAUCCCAUACCUUCAUUUUGCCAAAAAAGAGCCUCAAUGGAUAAGACAUGUUAGAUUUUUUAAUGGAUCUGUAACACUACAACAUGUAGAACCUAAUUAUAAGACCGGAGCCAUACCUUGUUGAAAAGUGCAUGAGCAUUGCCAAGUUUUGGAAGAGCACCACAUUCCCUUUUUGAUUACAUAAGGUCAGAGUUCCAUUCAGGCAAAACUAAUUACAAGAAAUACAUUCAAAUUCAGCUAACUAUAAUGGGUUUAAUAUAUAUACCACUGACCAUAUAUCACUUGGCAUGGCCACGAUAAGCUUUUCUGUUACACUUACUGAGGAUUGAGGACCUGAUGUCCCAAAGGAAUCUGAUACAUGUGGAAUAGAAUCUUGCUUAGUCACAUCCAUUGUCACAAGCCCUACAAUUUCUAUUUCAUCCAAUUGACCAAUGUCGUGGAUGAGUGUGUACAUCAAUGUUAAUGUCUAUUGACAUACUACCCGCACUCCUUGGCCUCUCACGUGCCUGUAUUCUCGUUGGUUCUACUGGUCCUUUGUAAGUGCUCCUACUUCUUGGUGGUUGUCCCCUAUUUUGUACCCAAACCAAAAUGCAUGAUUAACAAAUUAAGUUGCACCACUUUUAGUUUUCAACAGAUAUAUAAUUUGAUUAAGUUGCUAGCUGAGUAACUUUCAUUCAUAAUUUGGCACCUUACUGAUCCACCUUCUGGUUCACUAGGUGGACAUGCCUGCACAGGAAGUUGUUGAGUGUGCAGGCAUCCAUUGCUACUCUUGAAAUCGUUUUUAUAUAUGUCUAUAUGUUUCUGUGUUGAAUGUGCAGGUUGUACAAACCGUAUAUUAUGUUAGGCUUCCCUAACAUAUAUAGCAGCCACCAAUGUUGACUGUUGUUACUAAUGUUGUUCUUUUGCAGUACAUGAAUUGGAUCCCAAAUUUGGUAAUAGUUUAACCUAAGACAGCAGCUGCAAAACUGGUGAUUGGCUUGUGCGUGACACCAAAACUGGUGAAAUGUUGACAAGAGCCUCCAGGUAGAUAUCAGUUUCAAGAAUCAUUUUUUUCUGUUGCCUAUAGACAUGUUUUGAAGAGUAUUUCUGAAUCUCAAUGUUUCACUCUGUUGAUUUGGCACUGCUUUUAAUCUCACGAGGCUAUGUGAAGUUAUCUAUUAUCAUUUUUACUUUAUCUUAAUACACCACUAUUGAAACACAAUUAAUUACAGAUUUAACCAUACAAAAUUUUGUUGAUGACAAUGUUUUAAUCUACCAACAGAAUUUUCGUACAUGCUUACAAAAGAAGGCAACAAGUGGGAUUAGGAAGAUGCAUGAUAUGACCAACACAGAGCAAUGAUGGAAAUUGAUAUCCCUACGUAUAACUACAUCAGACUAGCACAUACACAUACACAUACCAAAUACAUUAUAAGCAAAAACUUAUAGCAUUAAUAAAAAAAAAGCUCAAAUGAUGGUAUAAACUUGGAAGUACCUCUGAUUCCCUUUGCAGUCUGACUUUGGCAACUAAGAAACUAUGAAUACCAACCCAACAGUCAGCCUUCAAAACCUAAAAUUUUUUAGUCAAAAAUGGCAUAUUAGAAUAAAAAAUGCAUUUAUACGAGACAAAAGGGAAAAAAAUUCAACAAAAAACAGGAAAGGAACAGAAUUUGCACACAAAGAAAGGUGCAUGCUGAACAAACAACAAAAGUAUAAUGAUUCAUGUUCAUAUGUUUAACUAAAACUCAUAAAUAGAACUUCUGACAUUUGGACUUAAAUACAGUUUGUAAAAUUUGGGCUGCUCUCUAAUCAGCUGGAAAAAAAAUUUCGUGGGAUUCAGUUACGCCUUAAGUCUAAAUGAUUAUGACCAUGUUUAACUGCAUCUAAUUCUUAUAUAUAGUUGCUUUCAUUAAUUUAAAUUAAUUUGUUUUGGUUUUGUUUAUGUUUCAUAUCAUACCAUUCUGGAGGCAACAUAGGAACAGUACAUGUCAUGCCUAUAUAGACAUGAAACUUGGUACAAGGCUUCAUGGUGUCUUUCAAAAUUGUUAACUAUUAUUUGUUUGUGAUGUCAUUAGUCAAGUUCUGAUCAUAAUCUGGAGUUACUUUGUCACAGCUGAUAAAUGUUUAUAUGGCAAACUACUAGACCGGAGGACAAUUUUGGCCUACAGUGCACAACUACACAAUUUUUUUAUUUGUUUUCAUAAGUGGAGAUCCAUACAUCCUUCACACAAUAGUUUUCAGCCAAGGCAAGCGGGACAGGGAACAACAAUUCUAUGUACGGUUUGACCCAAGUGCAGGUUUCCAUAGUUAGUCUAUCAUGUGGAACCCACAGAGGAUUAUGUAAGUCCUUAUUAUCUACAAAAAUAGUCCAGUAUGUUUCCUUUUUUCUCUAUUCUAUCCUAUGAUCCUUAACAUAGUUUCUCAUACUCUCUUUAAUUUAGAUUCUGAGUUUUUUCUAUAUAAUAUGCUCAGUUAACUACAGUUGCUUCUCUAUAGAGGCAUAUGCUCAGUUUUUGUCAAUAAGAACUGCCCAUUAUGUCGUGAUUGGGGAGAUCUUGUUUCAUUCUCUUAGUUUUGGUACUGUUGGGGGCUUCAAGUACAGCUGAGUGCACAAGAGACAUAAGGGACUUCCAAAGCUUGUUUGGAAGCCAAUUACCAAAAGGGUCAGUGCCACCAUCUGGACCCUCUUCAUGUCAGAACAACCUUAGCCCUUACAAAUACAGCAAACCUUCAUUUCCAAAUUAUUACUAUAAUUUUUGUCCUUAAUAGCACUUGUCAAGGAUAGAAGCAUGCAUAAGAAAUAUAUGAUAUAUCUAGCUAAUUGUAACAUGAGUAGAUUGCAUAAUUCAACUUAAUCAUAUAUUUAAUUGAUUUCAGUUGUAAACAUUUUUUUAAGUGAUUAAUAAUGCACAACCUUAAGCAGUUAAGUUACAAAAACUAAAUAACCUGGCUUGCAUUUGGAAUAUACCUUGUCAAUCCACUGUCAGAAAGAUGAGGAUUCAAAUCUGUAUGAACCAAUAUGUAGGCUGACUUUAUAUUCUUAUGAAGAAAAGAUGAUGAACAAAGUUCAUGUAGGUACCUAGGAGAAAAACAAGUAGAGUUAGCUUCUUCAUUCUCAGGGCAAAAAUUUACAUUGAUGCUUGAAGUCCAAAAAUUUCACAUAACAACUUCAGCUUUAACAAUAACUAAUUGUAGUCAAGAUAUUAGAGUCUAUAUAAGCAAGUGGACAAUAGUUUCAUACUAGCUGCCACUAUUCUUAUAAUUAAAAGUUCAAUUGUAUCCCAAAGCUGAGUGGUGUGUGACAAUUGUCACACUUUAAGCCCUAAAAGCCUCCUAUGCAACAGGACAUGUUAAUAUUAAACCAUGCAAAGUGGCACUCUCACAAUGCAGCUCCAACCAUGUUCUUCAGUUCCUUCGCUACUUGGACCAGUUUGGGAAGACCAAACUGCACUCACAAGGGUGUUUGUUCUUUGGGCAAGCUGAGCCACUAAAGUGCACUCACAGUGCAGCUCCAACCAUGUUUAUGUCUUUUGUGCCUAUAUUAUAUAAUAUAAUAUAUAUUUUGCCUAUAUAUAGUUUUCUUUUCCGCAUAAUAUCUUGCUUCUAAUUUAGUGUUAUUGGUAAUCCCUUUUUGUGGCUUCCACAAAUAAAUCAACAAAUACCAGUCCAAUGGAUCAGAAUUCACUUAUAUAUAUGCAAAGAAUGUGAAUUUAUAUAUCAUUAUUAAUGUAAACAUUUUAUUGGUGAAUAUUAUCAACCUUAUUUGAAUCUUCAUGUCUGUUCUGAUAUUGUAAAUCUUUAUAUAUAAAAUGACUUCAACUUUUAUACAGACAAAAACAAAAAGAAUGAACAAAAAACAACAACAAUGCCUCUACCAAAAUCCUUGGUCCAAAAUAGGAAUGCCUCUACCAACUAUGUUGCUGAAUACAAUAAUUAUGUAUAUUAUUACAAUUUCCUUAAUGCAUAUGCUUCAGGUCGUUACAAAAUGAUUAGGCUACCUCUAUCUAUAAACACCCAAGGGAUUCAUGGAAUUGGUACCUCAUCACUACUUUGAACCAUUUGUAUAUAAUAUUACUAACAAAUUUAUGAAUGGCUUUUCUUCGAUCCACCUUCGUGACCUCAAUGGAUCUUUCAUAAAUGCUAGCCAUAGUCUGUGCAACUUACUAUUAUGGAUAUGGUCCAACACCAAAGCUUCAGACCCCCAAACCCAAAACAGAUUACAAAUUUGACAAACCACACCCCAGAAUACCCAGAUUACUAUGUAGUGCCCAAACCAAAAGGAAACGAUGAACUACAUCUGCUUCCCACAAUCAUUGGUGUCCAAGGAAUUGAAAAUAGAAGCUACCCUAACACAGAUAUCCUUUUUUUGUUAAACCUUCAAACUUCUAGCCUAAAAAACCCAGAGCCUAAAAAUACGUACAAAAUUCUGCCAAAAAUGUUAUACAAUGCUCCAUGCUCACACAAAAUAAUGAGCACAUUACUAGAUGCAACAUUAUUCACCAAAGACCACAAACAAGAUUCAACUACAGAGUAUUUCUUUCAAUACAUUGGCAGCAGACACCAUAGCAGUCACAAACGUUGGAGUACAAAGAAAUGUACCUCUAUGGCGAUACCCACGCACCGAGUAGCGACGAAUGAGGCAGGAGACUUCUCUAGGUCACAAAACAACCUUCCCAACACGAGCGAGGGUAGUAAGAAGGAAUGCUUAACGCAGUACUCGGGAGGGGAGUAAGAAGAGACGAUGGUAAAUGGGAGAUAGGUACGACCUAGGGUGCGCGCGUUAAGAAAACAACGACGGUCUGGUGCAGAAGACCGUCUUCAUUUUUCCCAAAAAUAAUUAUGAGAUUGCCACUAAGAACCGAUUUACGAUCGGUCCAUAUAACCGUCCUUAGAAUGACAGAGUCAUACAAAACUUAUCCAUGCAAAUAAUUACAAAAAAUAUCACUGUGUAUAUGUUCCUCAAGAAUCAUCUUAAAAUUAGCAUCAUAAAUCAGCUUUUUUUACUAGUGGAUCUCAAAAAUUUUAACGACUGAAUUAGAAUAUUUCAAUCACUAAACACUACUUCUUUUUAGUGGAUUCUACAGAUUUUGCAUUUAGUACUUAAUAAUUUUUUAUUUAUUUUUAAUAUCUGAAAAAUUUACAAAUUUUGCAUUUAUCCUUGAAAUGUAUUUUUUGGUAUUUCACCUCUAUCAUUACAUUGGCUCUAUUAAGUUGUUCCUAAUAUAUUUUUUCUUUUAGUCUAUUUUUUUUCCUGAAAUUAUCGGUAUGUCUUUUUCAUUAGAAGUUAACGUCUCAAGUUAACAAAGUCAAUAUAAUGAUAGGGAUUAAAUAUAAAAUAAAUAAAUACAAAUUUAAAAUAACAAUUAUGAUUGAUGUAUAAAAAAAUUUACAAAUAUAUAUGAGAAAAUUUGUUUUAAAUAUAAUAUUUUGAUUUUUUUUUCUACACUAUUUUUCCUUAUAUUUUUUUUACAUUAUAUUUUUUUAUAACUACAGUUAUCAUAUCUUUUUUUUUUUCUUUUAACUUUUCUCCUGUCUUUCUUUUAUUCUUUAUCAUCUUUUUACCCAAAUAGCAUCUAUUAAGAUGUGUGAAAAAAGGAUUUAAAUUAAUAUCUUUUUAUUCAUUUAAAUUCGGAUAAUUUUUUUAUAUUCCAAACUAAAAAGUAUUUUUAGUCUCAUACUUUGGAAAUAAUUAUUUUUUAGUCCCUAAUUUGUGAUCAUUGUAGUCCCUGAUAAGGAUUAAAUGAAUUAUUUUCAAAUUAUGAGACUAGAAAAUCACUUUUAAAUUUGAAAGACAAAAUAAAUUUGGCAAUUUAAAGAAAGAAAAAGAUAUUUAAGUUCAAAAAAAAAACUUUAGUUCUAGAUCAAUUCUUGUAAAGAGAAAGCAUUGGUAAUUAAAUUAAAUGUUGUCAUUAUCUAGUUAGGCCUUACAGAGUUGAUAUAUAGUCUCAUGAAUAUUGAUAUUGAUUUGCCAAACUAUGACAGCAUUAAUUAAUUUGGCAUGCAUCAUAAAGAGUAAGUAUUAAUUAAUUUAAAGCUCCAAAAAUAUUUAAAGCAUCGAAUUAACUUUAAGUUAGACAUUAAAUUAGUAGUUAAUAAUAUAAAAUUAAAUAUUAAUGUAAGGACUAAAAAAAUUAUAUCCUAAGUAAGAAGCCAGAGAGCUAAUUUAGAAAAUGAUGGGUAUGAUAAUAUCUUGUCUAUAUAUUUUAUAUCUAUUACAUAAUAUAUAUAUAUAUAUAUAUAUAUAUAUAUAUAUAUAUAUAUAUAUAUAUAUAUAUAUAUAUAUAUAUUAUUUAUGUUCGAUAUAAUUUUUUAUAUAUCUUCACACAAAAUUUUGACAUAUAAAAUUAAAUUAAACAUAUAAUAUUGAUUAAAAUAUUAAAAAAUAAAUUAAUAUUAUUCAAAUAUUUUUUUAAAUGUGUAAUAAGAAUAAUAUUAAAAAUAAUUAAAUUUAUAAAUAUUACAUUUUAUAAAAAAAAGAAACUAAUAUCAAUUAUUUAAGCUUGUUGUCUCAACUUUCAAGUCUCCUCAAGAAAUAGGUGGAACAACUAGUUAGCUCUAAUGAAAAACGUUCUCAAUCUCUCAUGUUUUUAUGAAAAGGCAAUGCUUGUUUAGAUAGCCAGUUUUGCUUCCCAUGGUUUUGCUAUUGACAUUUUGUUUGGUGGAAUUUCAUUCCUACCUUUAUUUCAAUAGAAAUAGAAUAGGUAUUCCUAACUACAAGUUUUCAUAGUUAUUUCAAUAUAAUACCUAACUGUGUGUGUGAUUAUAAAAAAAUGUUAAAAUUAUUACACAAAUAUGUGUGUAAUUAUAAUAAAAUGUUAAUUAAUAUUGUUAGACAAAUGUGUAUCAUAGAUGACUUUUUUUAUGUGGGAGCAACAGAAAUAGACAUUUACUAUUAGAUCUUAUCAUCAACGAUCAAGAUUAAAAAAAUAAAACCAUCAAAAUCAUUGAACACAUUGAUCAACUAACACUCACAUUUAUUCUAACUUAACUAAUUAUCUUCGGUUCAAAUGAUAUAUUUAUACUAAAUAUAUGAGAAAAGUUUUGUUACUCAUAAUAAUCUUACUUCUUUUGAAUAUGAUUAUUUCUCCAAUAUAUACAUGUGAUAGUAUAAAAAAAAUAAAAAUAAUUAUUUUUAAAAAAAUUGUCUAGGUAACCCAAACUAAAAUUGGGAUUAAACAAUCUUAUCCUAGAUGACCCAAUAAAAUUAAAACAACUGUAUUAAAAGUUGGAUUCACAUGUUUAUAUUUUUUAUACACAAAAUUUUGACUGGUUAUAUAUUCUUCUCAUUAUCUUCUACCAGUUUUAAAUUAUGUCCACUUUUUAGAUUUUAGAUUUUUUUUUCUGCAAUUGUUUCUAUACCUUCUCUUACAAGAAAAUGAUGAGAUUUAAUUUUCUUCAUCCAAUAUUGCAUCCAUUAGAGAAACUCCUUUCCAAACACAUUUAUUUAUUUAAAAGGCAAAAGCAACAUUAUUAAUAAACCAAUACCACAAGAGGUGCUUGACUUAGAAAAAAAACACUAUUAUACACAGUAUAGAAAAAGAUGUUCAGCAAACAUGGUGCCUUGACAACAAUAAAAGCACAGCCUGGUUUAUGUUAUUACUAUGCACACCACAUUUGUAAUCUGAUCAAUCGGGAUACCACGUCUAUAAUCCUAAUUGGGAUUCCACAUCGUAGGGUUGUUUCAAAAAAAACUUGAAAGCAAAGAGGAAAAAAGGAUCGAAGAGGAUGAAUGUUUUUUUAUCAACCAAAUUAAAAUUUUAUUCACAAAGGUACCAGUGGUUUAGGGUUUAAAAUUAGUGGUACCAGUAAAACAAAAAAAAAAAAAAGGAACAAACCAAAGCGUGCCUCCAAGUCACCGAAAGAGAAAGAAAAACAAUAUUUGCUAUCUCAAUCAUAAUUCAGCACACAAAACCUAAAACAUAAAUAACCUCCAAUCAAAAUCGAGAACCCCUUCCCAGUAAAAGCCCUUAAUCAGAAUCUUAGUUUAAUUGUUUAUGUAUCCCUUCACAAUGAAUCUUGUCGCCAACACUCCGCGAAAAAAACGACGAACGUGGUGGUGAAAGGGUGAAAUUCGGUGGUGACAAAGAUGUACGCGUGUUUGGGAAUGCAAGAGCGCAAUUUCAGAUUAAAUGUAAUUUGUAAAAAAUAAUAAGAAGAAUAUAAAAUUAGUCAAAGAUUUGUAUCAAAAGAAUUUAAAAAAUGAACCCAAUCCAUAACACACUUGUUCUAAUUUUAUUGGAUCAUUUUGGAUUGGGUUAUGUAACCCCAUUUCUACUUAGGUAUGUUAGAUCACCCCUAAAAAAUCACAUAAUUUUUUAAAGUGAUCAUAUUACUUUCUAAGUGGUAUCUUUUUAUACAUAAAAAAGUGGUAUCUUUUUAAGUGAUUAAAAAAAUGUGACUAUCCAUCUAUGAAUAUAUAGAACAAAUUUAUAUCAUCACUUGAAGUAGUAUUGUCUAAGAGUUUAUUAUACUCUUGUUCUAUUUUACGCAACUCUUAUAUUAUAUCUGAUUUUGUUUUACCAUAUCUUUGCCACCAAACGAACCUUAAAAGACUAAAUUGAAAUUGAAAACAUUUUAAAAGCUAACAUAAUUUCUCACUGUAUGUUUGAAUGACCAAUAGUAGCCUUCCUAAUAUAUUAUUGAAAACAAUCCAAACAAAUCGCAUGCCUUCUUAUCUUGUCCUUUUUUAUUGUUUUUCUAAAAAUAACUAAUGUAGAAUUUCUUUAAUAAAAAAUAUAAAAUUUCUUAAAUAAAAUGGUAACGUUUCUUAAAUUAAUACAAACGAGCAAACGUGAAAGAGACGGUAGUCUCAGCUUUUCUAAGGUUUUGAUAUAGUUAUAUUUUUUUGGACCAAUGGUUGAAUAAGAUAGUUACACACCAACAAGAGAGAGGAAGAGUGAGAGAGCUUCAUCCAACUACGUACGGGCAUUGGAACUCUUUUUCUUGCUAUCUUAAUUACAAUGUUAAUCUCCCUCCUAAUUGCGUUAAUUUGAAGGACUUGCAUAUAUAGUUGCAUUAAUUUAUACCUAACUCAAGAUCAUAUCUUACCCUAUAAAUAGCUAGCCAAUGCAUCGUUCCCUUAUGCCAAAUCCUUUUCAUUCAAGAUGAAGAUGAUUCGCAUUCUUUUCAUCUUUGCUCUUCUAUCCUUCACUUCCCAUGCUUCUAAUGUCAAUGACUUCUGUGUGGCAGACCUGAAGGGUCCAGAUAGCCCUACUGGCUAUCACUGCAAGCCACCUAAAACAGUAACAUCACAUGACUUUGUGUUCCAUUUAGGCCCUGGAAACACUUCAAACGUGUUCAAGUCCGCAAUAACCUCUGCAUUUGUCAAAGAUUUUCCUGCUGUCAACGGUCUUAGCCUUUCUGUAGCACGCAUUGACAUAGCUCAAGGGUGGAGUGGUUCCAAUGCACACACAUCCUGGUGCCAAUGAAAUAGUGAUGAUGGUGGCAGGUGAAAUCAACGCUGGGCUUUAUAACAACCGAUGCAGUUUAUCAGAACACACUGAAACCAGGAGAUGUUAUNNNNNNNNNNNNNNNNNNNNNNNNNNNNNNNNNNNNNNNNNNNNNNNNNNNNNNNNNNNNNNNNNNNNNNNNNNNNNNNNNNNNNNNNNNNNNNNNNNNNAUUUUGUCAUUAACUCUCAUCUGUCAUAGUAGUCUACGUAGCAUAAGGGAUAAAUUUAUUAUUGAAAUGAGUACUAAUGUGAAUUGUCAACAUAUGAACAUAUUUGUCAUAAUUUUUUUUUUGACUUUUUGUCUUUCCACUCCUAACAUAUGCGUCCCUGAAGAUAAAAUACAAACUUUAAUUCUUGAAAGUAUAAAAAGUACAACAAAUAUAUUUGGACAUUAAUAAUAGAUUGUGACUAAUUAUUAUUAUUAUUCGUUUAUAAUUUAGUGCUCCUAUUCGUUUAGUAUUUAUGCAAUAUAUUUUUUAAAUUUUUUUUAUAUAUAUUUUUAUUAUUUUGAUUUCUUUAUCAAACCUUAAUCUUUGUUGUUAAUUUUUUUUAUCUUAUAUCUUAUAAUUUUAUCAAAUUUUUACUAAAUUUCUCAUUUUUAAUCUUUAAAAUUAUUUAAUAUCUCAAUUUUAACUUAAGUACCCUUAUAUUUAGAUUGAAAAUAAUAUGUUGAGAGUUUUGAGUAGAAAAAAUACAACCGGUCACGAGACUAAAUUUAUUUAUUUAUUUUUAAAAAAAGAAUUUAAUCAACUAUUCUUUUUUUUAAAAAAAAGUCUCACAAAAUUUAAUCAAUUGAGUUACCAUUUAAAAAAAUGAAAGUCUUUUAUUUCUUAAAAUUUUUUGUUUCUUCAAUUAAUUAUUAAUUUUUAUUACGUACUCUUCCACGGUAUGUUAAUCUCAUUAGUAAUAAACCUCUGUACUAGUUUUUUUUUUUGAAGUUAAUCUCAUUAGUUUGAGCAUUAUUGUAUUUUUUAUUUAAAUUUAUUUGGAUUCUUUAUUUGUUAGUAACUGUUUUCAUUUCACUUAUAUUAUGUAUAAUAAAAGUUGUCUCGAGUGAAAGCACAUAAGAUUUAUCCAAAUGAUUCUUUCAUAUUUGAGAUAUAUAUAUACAUUAUAUUGAUUAAGGAAAAAGACUUCUAAUUCCACUUUAGCUCUAUCUAGUUUAAAUUUUGUGAGACUUCUUUUAAAAAAAAAUUGAUUAAAUUCUUUUUUUAAAAUAAAUAAAUAAAUAAAUUUGGUCACGUGACUGAUUGUGUUUUUUCUACUUAAAACACUCAACAUAUUAUUUUCAAUCUAAAUAUAAGGGUACUUAAGUUGGAAUUGAGAUAUGGAAUAAUUUUAAAGAUUAAAAGUGAGAAAUUUAGUAAAAAUUUGAUAAAAUUAUAAGAUAUAAGAUAAAAAAAAUUUAACAGUAAAGAUUAAGGUUUGAUAAGGAAAUUAAAAUAAUAAAUAUAUAUAUAUAUAUAUAUAUAUAUUAAAAGGUAAUUUAAAAAAUAUAUUGCAUAAGUACUAAACGAAUAAGAAUAGUAAAUUACAAACACAUAAUAAUAAUAAUAAUAAUAAUAAUAAUAAUAAUAAUAAUUAGUUAUAAUCUAUUAUUAACGCUCGAUCGAUAUAUUUGUUUUACUUUUUAUAUUUUUGAUGACUAAAUUUUAUAUUUCCAUCCUUCAGGACACAUUUGUCAACAGAGUAGGAAGACGAAAAAUAAAAAAAAAAUAUUAUGACAAAUAUGUCACUAUGCUAACAAUCCACCUUAGCAAUCACUUUAGUGACAAAUAUGUCACUCCAUGUCAGGUUACUUUAUUGACUGUGACAGAUGAAAGUUAAUAAUGUGAUAUACUUAUCGUACUUUUAAAUUUUACAUUUAGGAACACAUUUGUCAAUAAAGUAUAUGUUAAGGGACAAAAGUUGCUAUUUACCUUGAAAUUUACUAUAAGAUAAGAUUCAAAUAUAUUUUUAAUUCUUAACAAAUUUUAAGAUUUUGUAUUUGAAUUUAAAUAUAUUUUUUAAUUUUUGUAUAGAGCUUGCUAUCUCUUUGACUCCUUCCUCAAACUUAUUCUUGUUUGUCCCCAAACAAGUUACCCAAACGCACAACCCCAACAUUAGUAAAAAAAAGUAUUUCCGUGUAUUUAAACAUGAUUAUUAAAAAAAAAUUGUUUUCAUUCAAACAACGGUGACAUUUUUAUUGAUAUUUGUAAAAAGUGCUUGGAGAUUUCUGGGGAUUGAUCUUCUUUGCAAAAAGUGCUUGGAUUUGAAAUUCUUGACGUGUCAUGUCUCAAGGUUUGUUUUGUUGCUUUGUCUCUCAUAAAAGAUUUGUAUAUCUUUGCUGAUUGCUGAUUAACUUUCUCUCUCACAAGGUUAGUGACAUCUUAGAUUCUGCACAACUGAUCUGCGAGCAGGUAAGUUUGUUGAAACUCACUGGUAUUGAAUAACUUUGAUGAUCUUUCCAGGUGAAGAUACUACUUUCAACUGACUGAUAUUCUAUACUACAAAUAUGAAUGAGCUCCUAGUCUCCUUCAGCUGCUGUAGUGCUAGACAGGCAACUGCAUUUUCAUUUACUAAUUUAUUUAUAUAUGUAUUUCAAGAUGAAAAUUAUUUUUUUUAUUGCAGAAUGAAUUGGCCUCCCGUAGAACAGAUGUAGGGAAUAUAUCUUCUUGCUUCUUGUUUCUUUAACUUAUAAUAAUUUCUAACAUCAUAAUCCAAUGAGAAAUAACAACCUUCUGAAACAGAGCUUUCCUUCAUUUUAAUUUGAUAUCAAAGAUAAAACACAAUUAAUUAAAUUGUUGUCCAACUUAAAAAAAGUUCUAUAAUAAUUCUUUUGAGACAUCAUGUUUCGAAGCUUCAAAUGAUAAACUCAAGCUUGUCGAUGCUAUUGUAAUAUAUCAUUUUCAACGAAUCAAUGUUAACAACAUACCAAACAAUUGCUCAUUCAUUCAUUUUUUUUUAAUACCUAUUAAUUUUUAAAACCCUUUUAUUCAUAAAAAUAGGGGAGCAUGUUUUCUCCUUAAAUCAAGAUGGCUAUGAAAUAUACUCAAGUUUCUGAUUCUGGAUGAAAUUAGUCAUAAUAUUGCAGUUGUACUUCUUAUAACAUGAUAAAAAUCUAUUAUAUAUGAACAUCGCGACAUAUAUCAAAUAUUAUUCACAAUAUUUGCAGUGGAAUUUAAAAAUUCUAUAAAAUUCUUUAUGAAAUUCCAUGUUUCAAAUCUUCAAGUUCAAAUGAUAAUAUAUCAUUUUUAACGAAUCAGUGUAAACAACCAAACAAUUGUGCAUGCUCGUCCAGGCAUAGUCAUUUUGGCAAUACCUAUAAACUUUUAAUACUUAUUUAUUAAUUUAAGAAAAAACCCAGGGGAGCGUUUUUUUUCUCUCCGUAAUUCAAUAUGGAUACUGUAGAAAUAGAUCGAGUCUGUUAAUUAUAUUUGCUUCUACAUGAGCAAUACUCUAAAGUUGUAGUAUUAUUGGAUAUGAAGUGUACACACAAAUUUCGAGUUAGCAUUUCAACAUGUGUAGGAGUUUCUACAUUUCCUUCGAUUGGCUUUUCUCUUGUUAAUUACUAUGUGAAUGGUUAAAUAUCCUAUUAUUGUAGGAUCAAUAUAUGUCUUCAUUUUGCUAACUAAUUAAUUAUGUUGACCAUUCUUUCAUGAUUUAUUGUUUGGACUUUGGACUAAAACCUAUACUAGCAAACUUAUUUGAAUAUGAUUUUACAAUAUCAAUGUUCCUCUCUUCUUUGCCACCUUAGCUGAAAAAUUAAAUUAUAUACUUAACGAAAAUAUGAAAGUGAAAAGAAAGACAAAUACAGGGAAUGAAUAACUUGGGAUCACUUCUUGAACAAAGGACAUUUAUUUACCAACUUUCAUCACUACCACAAGAUGAUAAACAAAGUUAGUGAGGAGGAAAGAAUCCCCCUCCACCAGCCUAAAAACAACAUUAUAUAUAUAUAUAUAUAUAUAUAUAUAUAUAUAAGGCACAAAGUUAUACUUUUCCUCAGGAUAGGUGAUGGUUCUGGGGUUUUGGUCUUGGAGGUUGGCUAAGAAAUUUAUUGUGUAUAUAUCAUCUAUCCCUACAAUUCCUCUUGACCUACUUUAUUUAUAAUAUUUGAUCUUUGUUAUUUAUUUGUUUCUCCUAUCUUUUAGGAAUUUGAGCAUGCAAAAAACCGAGGAUCCAAAAUCUAUGCAGAGGUUCGUGGCUAUGGGAUGUCAGGUAGUUUGUCUAAUUGCAGGAUAUGUAGGAUUUUCUUCUAGCCUUAGUUUUAUAUUUGGUUGACUUAUUUCAUGUGGAUUUUGACUAGGUGAUGCAUAUCAUUUAACUCAACCUCCUAGUGAGGGGAGAGGAGCCAUUUUGGCCAUGACUCGUGCUUUAAGACAGGUAUCCUUUAUCUUCUUGCAAUGAUUUGUAUUUUUCAUGCAUCAUUAGAGGUUUUCUGUUGGCUGAGCUUGCAAGCUUAAGCAUAAGCUUACUACUUCACUUUCCAAUAAAAAUUUAAGGUUAUCGUUGGUUUUAAUUUCAGUCCAUAAGGUAUAAAAUGCGGUAUAAUUAAAAGAAUAAAUGGGAGUUAAAAGGCUCAGAGGGACUAAAAAUGGGUUUUUACAAUAGUAGGCUAUAUGUUCCAAGGUAUAAAAACAAGAAAUUGCCUCUUUUAUUAGAAAACUAAAGAAUGGAGAAAAUUCAAGAGAACGACAUCAAAAUUUAAGCAAAGUAGUACCUCGUGGUUUAGCACUAAAUUUAAGAAACAAAUUUAGUUUAAGAUCGACACUCACAACUGGAUGAGGAUUCUCCAUGUGUUUAGAAAAAAAGUAACCUAUGUACAAGAUGCUUGAAAACAUAUCAAUUAAAUUAUUCAAUUUAUUUCUAUCGAUCCACAAAAGGUUCAAUGCCUCAAAAGUGUAAAUUGCAAAAAUAAAUCAAUUGAUCUCAUAUUUUUCUUUUUGGAUCAAUGGAAAAUAUUUACCUAAACAAUUUUAAAUGAAAGAUCUCAAAUUCAAUUAAUUAAGAAAUUAUUUACAACCUAAAAGACUAUUCAUAUUCAAACUUGUGUUCAAUUUCCUUCUUGUAAAAUUUUCUUGGAUAAAUAGCAAUUAGACAUCGCGAAUAAAAUUAGUUUCUAACAAAAAAAAAUACAACAAAAAUAUAAUUCUAUUACACACUUGUACAACAGAAAUAUGAUUCUAUUGCACUCGUGUUACUCUUGUAUUUUUUUUUCUCACCCCCAUUAAUUAUGGAAUGUGAAUACGUUUUUCUUGUAUUUUCAUCUAUGAAACAAUUGGCAAUACAGCUAAAAAGCACUCACAUAAAUAAUGCUAAUAGCAAAAGUGAAAGUGCCAAUAGCAACCCCUCUAGAUAACAUAUCAACAGGGGACAACUUACCUGGGCUAUCCAAUCUCAAAGACUAAAUCGAAGCUUCAUGAGAAGCACGUAAAGGCUCCAUUGGACUAGGAUGACACAAAUGUAAUCAUUGUAUCACGAAAUAAUUAGUUAAUUAUAAGAUGAUGCUCCCAUUUCGACCAUUACAGAAUCGAAGGAAUUGAAUCUUACGAAAUAAACAAACAACCUCUCCAAGUUUGGAUCCCAAUUAGUUAUAUCGAUAGUAGACACCUUUUUUCUUUUUUAAGGAAAACCUCUCCAACUUCAUUGUUUAAAUGACUUUAUUAAUAAAAGUCAUUGGUUUAAAACUCAAUCUAACACGUUUACAUUGUAGAUUGUGGCAGAUCAAAGUCUUCGUCAUAAUGCAUGCGUCUGCUUAAUGUCAACCCACUACUUAAGUUUGAUUUUUAACGUGUUAAUUCUUAAAUUAAUUAAUGAUUAUUUCAUUAAAAAAUGAGUAAACUCUAUUUUUCUCUUUUUAAUAUUCUUAUAUCAUGAUUUUUCAUACAAAAUAUGAUAUUAUUAAUAUUUGUUGCUGAAGCAAGAUAAUUGAUCUCUACCGUGAAUAUCUGGUCUUCUACAAGAAUAAGAAAGAUCUGCACGCAAAUUCAAAAAAAUGAUAUUUUAAUGUCUCUUUGGACAAAACUAGAAAAAUGAUUAAAUAAUUAUUUAUUAAAUUAUUUAUUUCCUACAUUUGCAGGAAAUGAUAGUUAAAUUAGAAUUUAAGUGUACACUCAAGUGCUGCCGCACGUGUUUCAUAUAUAUCAUUCUCCGACUUCAAAUAAAAUACAAUCAGACAUCGCGAAUAAAAUUAGUUUUUAACAGAAAAAAAUACAAUAAAAACACAAUUUUAUUACACACUUGUACAACAGAAAUAUGAUCCUAUUGCACUCGUUCCGUUGUAUUUUUUUUCUCACCCACAUUAAUUUUGGAAUGUGAAUACGUUUUUCUUGUAUUUUCAUCUAUGAAACAAUUGGCAAUACAACUAAAAAGCACUCACAUAAAUAAUGCUAAUAGCAAAAGUGGAAGUGCCAAUAGCAACCCCUCUAGAUAACAUAUCAACAAGGGACAACUUACCUGGGCUUAUCCAAUCUCAAAGACUAAAUCGAAGCUUCAUGAGAAGCACGUAAGGGCUCCAUUGGACUACGAUGACACAAAUGUAAUCAUUGUAUCACGAAAUAAUUAGUUAAUUAUAAGAGGCAAAUUUCCCCCGAAGGGGUCCUUUUACAAACAAAUUCCCAGAAUGGUGUUGUUUUGAAAGUAUUUCCGGGAUGAUGUCUUUUUUUACGUGGGAGGAAUGCAUGACGCCAUCAGGAAUGGCAAGUCCUCCACGGAUGGUCCACGUGGCAGCGGACUCGCCAGGACUAGUGGCGAUUUCAAGCCAACUGGUCUCGCCAGUCAAACUGGUGAGUUGGUCCCUGCAUGUCUCGCCAGACGCAGUGACGAUAAAGCCAUGGGGUGCGCAGGCUAGGGCCAAAACCGCCAAAAGCAUUGGUUCAGUGUAUUCUGAGUGUGUGACAUCGUUCAGCUUAAAUAGUUGGUUCUUCCUCCUAUGAUUUUUGUGUGCAUUUUAAAAGUUUUCUAAACUUCCAAAUUUGCCUUCUGCAACAGUUAUAAAUUCCUGAGCCUUCAAGCUUUCAGAGUUCAAAGUUCAAAAUCAAAAUAAGUGUGUGCCAUGAAAUUUAAAACAUGAGUUAAAAACACUUACAAGGAAGAGGAGCUACGCACGAGCAAGAAGCAACACAAGGAGGAGCAAAUCUUUUUCACUAACAGAAACCAAACACACACUCAGAAUACACACACUCACAAUCUUUUUUUGAACUGGUACGUGAAGGAGUCAAGGAGAGAUCCAUUUAUAGGAGAAAAUGAACAAUUUUUUUUCAAGCUUCUCGCCAGUCAAACUGGCGAGACCGGCAGAAGCGCUAGCCUGGAGGCAUGUCGCCACUACGUCUAGCGAGACAGGGUGCAACUCCCAGUCAAACUGGCGAGUCCAGCUAGCACGAAAUCGCCGCUGGUACUAGCGAUUUUCCCUCCAUGUGUUGCUGCAUGCUCAAAUCGUCAUUGCUGCUGGCGUUUUCUUUGAAAGUUCACAUAAAAAACAAACCCAUCCCGAAAAUUGUUUAGAAAGAGCCCCAUUUUGAGAAUUACUUUGUAAAAGGACCCCUUCGGGGGAAAUUUGCCAUUAUAAGAUGAUGCUCCCAUUUCGACCAUUACAGAAUCAAAGGAACUGAAUCUUACGAAAUAAACAAACAACCUCUUCAAGUUGGGAUCUCAAUUAGUUAUAUUGAUAGUAGACACCUUUUUUUUAAGGAAAACCUCUCCAACUUCAUUGUUUAAAUGACUUUAUUAAUAAAAGUCAUUGGUUUAAAACUCAAUCUAACACGUUUACAUUGUAGAUUGUGGUAGAUCAAAGUCUUCGUCAUGAUGCAUGCGUCUAGUUAAUGUCAACCCACUACUUAAGUUUGAUUUUUAACUUGUUAAUUCUUAAAUUAAUUAAUGAUCAUUUCAUUAAAAAAAUAUGAGUAAACUCCAUUUUUCUCUUUUUAAUAUUUUUAUAUCCUAAUUUUUCAUACAAGAUCUGAUAUUAUUAAUCCCCGUUACUCAAGCAACAUGAUUGAUCUCUACCGUGAAUAUCUGGUCUUCUACAAGAAUAAGAAAAAUCUACAGUAGAUUUAAAAAAAUGAUAUUUUAAUGUCUCUUUGGACAAAAUUAGAAAAAUGAUUAAAUAAUUAUGUAUUAAAUUAUUUAUUUCCUACAUUUGCAGUAGUUAAAUUAAAAUUUAAGUGUACACUCAAGUGCUGCCGCGCGUGUUUCGAAUAACUUGUGCGUGUAGACAUGUUACAGGGGAAUUCUUCAAAUUGAAUUGCAACCAAUUGCUAUGUUGACAAUGCAAAGUAGUAUAAGGAAAAUAUUAAAUAUACACUUAGUUUUUCUUUUAUCUCACUGUCAACCCACAUUUUUCUUUCAGUUUCUUUCUUCAUCUUCAAUCACAUUUGCAUAUCUAUCCGGUAUAAGGAAAAUAUUAAAACCCACAUUAAAUAAUUACAUAUAUCAAUUAAUCUUUAACUAAUUAAUUAUUACUAGUUUAAAUGUGCACCUGUAUUUUAAAAGUAUAAUAAAAAUAUGAUUUUAUUGUUUUCAUUCUAAUGUCCACUCUCACAUGAAUAUGAUACAGCCACUAGUUAAUUUUGCUUGGUGGUUCACGUUACACGUUAGUCUGAUUCUCAUAUAUAAAAUAAAACAAGAUGUAAUUAGAUAUAGUACGAUCCUAACUCAAGGAUUUAGGGGUACAUGCAGCAAGGCCAUAGGCCAUGUAUCUUCAGCGUGUAAGAAUAGCUUUAUAAAUAGAUAGCCAAUUCCACAUUACCUUCACACCAAAUCCAUUCAUCCAAGUUCCAAGAUGAAGAUGAUUCACUUUCUUUUCCUCUUUGCUCUUGUCUCGUUCACUUCCCAUGCUUCUGUCAAUGAUUUCUGUGUAGCAGACCUAAAAGGUCCAGAUAGCCCUUCAGGCUAUCAGUGCAAGCCACCUAACACAGUCACAGUGGAUGACUUUGUGUUCUCUGGCUUUGUAGCUGGAAACACCACAAACACUUUCAAUGCUGCAUUAACCUCCGCAUUUGUUACUGAUUUUCCAGGUGUGAAUGGUCUUGGUGUAUCUGCGGCACGGUUAGACAUAGCCAAAGGUGGAUCAAUCCCAAUGCACACACACCCUGCUGCCACUGAACUUCUAAUAAUGGUGGAAGGUCAAAUCACUGCUGGUUUUAUGACCCCAACUGCACUUUAUACCAAGACACUGAAACCUGGAGAUAUUAUGGUUUUUCCACAAGGACAGUUGCAUUUUCAGGUUAAUUCUGGAAACGGAAAAGCCACUGCUUUUCUGGCAUUCAGUAGUGCAAACCCUGGAGCACAACUACUUGACCUUCUGUUAUUUGGCAACACCUUGCCUUCUGACUUGGUUGCACAAACUACCUUCCUUGAUGUUGCACAAGUCAAGAAACUUAAGGCUCGUUUCGGUGGCAGAGGCUAGGAAUAUUAUUGCUCAUGAAUUUAUUCCUAUCUAAUGUUUGUUGCUAUUUAUAGUCCAUAAUAAUGCCUGUGUAUGCCCUUGCCUUUUCCAUU
rnacentral:lncRNA from 1 species